CUCAAGCCCUAGUGCUUGGCGUUGGGGCUUCUCUACAGCUCGCGCUGUAGGCCCCGAAAACCAGUGGCGGGCCCGUCGAGACUCCGAGCGUAGUAGUAUCUCUCAGCGCUCAGGGCGUCCGGCGGGUGCAACCAGCCGUAAACACCCCAAAAUCUAAAAAGGUUGACCUCGGAUCAGGUAGGAAUACCCGCUGAACUUAA
rnacentral:misc_RNA from 1 species